UUUUUUUUGUCUUUUUGAUAAUGAGUCAACUUUAUGUUUAUGAAAGAUAGAAUUUCAAUGUUAUAAAGGGGUAACAAUUUAUAAGAUUAAUUAAAAAAAUUAUCUACAAUGUAUCACACCAUAUCUGCUAGCUCGAAAAUGACAGUUUUAGAAAAUAAAUGAGAAUAGAAUAUCAUUUUUCUUCUUUUUCAUAGUGGAUCAACUUUAUGUUUAUGGAGGAUAAAAUCUCAAUGUUAAAAAGGGGUAACAAAUCAUAAGAUUAAUUAAUAUGUUUAUAUACAAUGUAUCACACCAUUUCUGCCAGAUCUAAAAUGACAGUUUUGGAAAAUAAUGAAA
rnacentral:sRNA from 1 species